GGUGAACGCUGGCGGCGUGCUUAAGACAUGCAAGUCGAACGGCAGUCUUCGGACUGUAGUGGCACACGGGUGAGUAACGCGUAACUGACCUACCCCGAAGUCGCGGAUAACGAUUCGAAAGAAUCGCUAAUACGUGAUGUGCUGUCAGAUUGUGUUCUGCCAGUAAAGAUUGAUUGCUUUGGGAUGGGGUUGCGUUCCAUCAGCUAGUUGGUGGGGUAAGGGCCCACCAAGGCGACGACGGAUAGCCGGCCUGAGAGGGUGGCCGGCCACAGGGGCACUGGGACACGGGUCCCACUCCAACGGGAGGCAGCAGUUAGGAAUCUUCCACAAUGGGCGAAAGCCUGAUGGAGCGACGCCGCGUGAGGGAUGAAGGUCUUCGGAUCGUAAACCUCUGAAUCAGGGACGAAAGACACUUCGGUGGGAUGACGGUACCUGAGUAAUAGCACCGGCUAACUCCGUGCCAGCCGCCGCAGUAACAC
rnacentral:rRNA from 1 species